rnacentral:lncRNA from 1 species
AUGCAAAGCGCAUUUAUUUUCAGCUUUUAUCUCUGGAAUUGGAAGGAAAAAAAAAACACUUUCAUAUAUUUUUCCUGCUGGGUGGUCAGAAGGAAAGGCCACGAAGCUAAAGGCGUCCCAUUGAGACACUGCUCUGCAAAGACGGACCUCACGUGUUGCCGCCAGAGAAGAGAGCACCUGUUCAUCCCGGCUCACUGUGAGGCUGAGCUCAGCGCUGGCAGGCGAGGGACCUCACGUGUCCCCCACAGCCACAGAGAGGGCUUCCCUGCAGGGAAAUCACAUCCGAUGUGCCUGUGCCUACACCAGACUUAAGACAGCCUCGAACACGUCCACGAAGCCAUUGUCCAGUAGGGCUGUUAGUUUUAAUGCCAGUAAGUAUUAUCUUUGAUUAAAAGGAUGAAUGUAUAUAGGGGUGUGUGUGUGUGUGUGUGUGUGUGUGUGUGUGUGUGUACUUGUGUGUGACAUAGGGAAAAGGUGUGGAGAAUGAAGAAAGGGUUCCAUUUAAGCAUUUGCAAAUAUUCGACGGCACCAUGAAAAGACAAAAAAAUAUGUCAUAUUUUGCUAUGAUUUUGUGUGUACUUGUAAUAAAAUUGUUAAAUAUAAAUUGUUCUGUAUUUCUUUUGCAAGCAUAAAUUCUAA